UAGGAUGUAGUGUAAUGGGUAGCACGGAGAGUUUUGAGUUCUCAGGAGUGGGUUCGAUUCCCGUGGUUCUAG
rnacentral:tRNA from 1 species